rnacentral:rRNA from 1 species
AGUGAACGCUGGCGGCGUGCUUAACACAUGCAAGUCGAACGAGAACGGAUUUUAGCUUGCUAUAAUUGUCAGCUAAGUGGCGCACGGGUGAGUAAUGUAUAGGUAAUAUGCCUCUUACUAAGGGAUAACAAUUGGAAACGAUUGCUAAUACCUUAUAUUCCUUUUUAUCAAAAGAUAAAAAGGGAAAGAUUUAUUGGUAAGAGAUUAGCGUGUAUUGUAUCAGUUAGGUGGUGGGGUAAUGGCCUACCAAGAUGAUGACGCAUAACUGGUUUGUGAGGAAGAUCAGUCACACUGGAACUGAGACACGGUCCAGACUCCUACGGGAGGCAGCAGUGGGGAAUAUAGCACAAUGGACGAGAGUCUGAUGCAGCAACGCCGCGUGGAGGAUGACACAUUUCGGUGCGUAAACUCCUUUUAUAUAAGAAGAUAAUGACGGUAUUAUAAGAAUAAGCACCGGCUAACUCCGUGCCAGCCGCCGCCGUAA